UCGGAUUGUAGUCUGCAACCCGACUACAUGAAGCUGGAAUCGCUAGUAAUCGCGGAUCAGAAUGCCGCGGUGAAUACGUUCCCGGGUCUUGUACACACCGCCCGUCACACCAUGGGAGUCGGAAAUGCCCGAAGUCUGUGACCCAACCUACGGGGAGGGAGCAGCCGAAGGCAGGGUCGGAUGACUGGGGUGAAGUCGUAACAAGGUAGC
rnacentral:rRNA from 1 species